rnacentral:lncRNA from 1 species
ACUAGGAGGUGGUGCUCGCGCGUUGCUGCGGGAUAAGAAAGUUUGUAGGUAAUAACAACUAAAAAAUUAUUAAAAAUAAACUGAGCAUAAUUUGUAAGUUGUUCAGUUUUGACUAACGUUAUGUUAAUUUAUACUAACAAAUGCAUUGAAAAAUAAAGAGUAAGUGAAAUUGGAUACAUACCUGGGUUGAGAAUUUGAAUAACGUCUCAGAAAAGAUAAGUUUUUAUGCAGUUUAGUACAACAAAGAUGGAAAUUGGUGUCUUAUGCAAUAAAAUAUAUUUAGUGAUAGCAUUAUAUAAUCUUUAACACAAUCUUACGAAAGCAAAAAGCCCUUACAAACACACUCAAUUGCUUGAAACCUUGACAGCUGAAAGCUACUUCAGCAGCUAAAAUUAUUGUAGGAACCAAGAUGUGGCAGAGAUUUUUUCAAAUUGAAAUUAACCUGCAGAUGAUUGCAAACACAAAAAUAAUUCAUUUUCAAAUAAAGAUAAAACAAACUUAAAAUAUUUCCAGGCUACUUUCAAUAACAGGAGAAUAAAAACAAAGCUUUGAUCAACAUGACUCUCAAUUUUAUGCAGAUUAGCAUAAUCCAAUUUAAGGGCAAAACAGACAGAAUUUACAAAAUAAAAAAGAAACAAACUGAAAGUCUAAUCAUGACAGAUAACAGUGUAAAUGUUACUACAAUAACUUGUCGUACAGAAUAAGCAAGACUAUUAAACUGCAAUAUUAAUCGAGCAAAUUUAUAUAAAAUUAUAAAUGUUGUCAAAAUCAGAUGGAAUACAAAGCAGUAAAGAUUUAUAUCCGAGGAUAAUAUUUUAGACAUUAAACUAUAAAACUACUUAGCCGCUCCUGAUACAACAACAACAAAGUCUUUUCUUACUAAGUGGGGUCGGCUAUAUGAAUCAUAGAACGCUAUUGCGCUCGGUUCUGUGUCAUGUCCUCCGUUAGAUCCAAGUACUCUAUGUCUAAAAAAUAAAAAAAAUUAAGGUCUAAGAAAUACGAUGCUGAAAUCCAUGGAUGCCAGAAUAAUUCAAUUUAAAUUAGAAAGGGAGAGGAUUGAUAAAAAGAAAACGGAAACAAACCAAAAUUUAACCAUGACAUAUAACAAAUAGAUUAACCCAUGCACAAAAAAUCAAUAAAUUUAGUUAACAUUAACCUUAGCUUUUUCCCGACUUCAAUACUCGGUGCAGUUUGUUAGCUCUAUGCUCGGUGCUCUCUUCUGCAUUCAGUGCUAAAUUCAACCUCUCAGCAAUUCGUGAUUGAAUUGAAAGCAACCACUAUUAAACUUUAAAGGCUGCAGACAAAACCCUCAAAAAUCACUAUUUCC